rfam:Sutterella wadsworthensis 2_1_59BFAA genomic scaffold supercont1.1, whole genome shotgun sequence.
GGGAAGGCAACGACUUCGAUGGAGGAAGCCGAUAGCAAAGCACCAGCCUGACGAACAGGAAUCGGAUGUGAGGCGUGUAUCUCGGGAGGGUCGGCAUGCAUCGAUUAACCCGAAACUGUUACGGAAGUUUCAGAGCAGAUGCUGGCUUGAGUUAAGAUGUAACU